GAGGGUAGAGCUCAGUGGUAGAGCACUUGCCUAGCAUGCAUGAGGUCCUGGGUUCAUUCCCCAGUACCUCCU
rnacentral:tRNA from 1 species